CGACAUCAGCUGCUCCAUAAGCUUCCCACACGAAUUGCUUGAUUCAUUGAAGAAGACGAAAGAAGCAGCCCGAAAUUGGUCUGUAGCUCAGUUGGUUAGAGCGCACCCCUGAUAAGGUGAGGUCGAUGGUGAAUGUGAUUCUAGUCUUGACUAGUUCGUUCUUUAAAAAUUUGGGUAUGUGAUAGAAAGAUAGACUGAACGUUACUUUCACUGGUAACGGAUCAGGCUAAGGUAAAAUUUGUGAGUUCUCUUAACUGAGAAAUUCGAAUUUUCGGCGAAUGUCGUCUUCACAGUAUAACCAUAUUGCUUGGGGUUAUAUGGUCAAGUGAA
rnacentral:misc_RNA from 1 species